AAAAGGUAGGGUCUGCAGAGCAGAAGGUUAUAUCCCGAGUGGGGAUGAAAGUUUCCUGUUCUCUGUGUAGAGAAGUUUGAAAAGGCUCACGCCAGACAAAUGGUGGAAGUCUCUGCCUGAUAACAUGACACUGAGUGGUGACAAGUGGUCAUGUUUCUAAAUAAAACCUACAUUCAUUAACAUGUGCCAGGCUUGAGCUCCUGGAAUGUAGGCCACAAGGGUAAGAAGGGGAACAAGCUCAGUGUAAUCUGCUGGGAGGAGGCGGCUACAAGUCUAAAGAAAGGAUCUCAAAAAUAAUGCCAGCUGCAGAUGCUCCACCCUUUUGGAAGGACAAACUUGCUGGCUUUUUGUGACACUGGAAAGGCUACUUGAGAAAGACAAACCACGCAUGUGUACACGAACCAGCUAAAGCUCCACAAGAACAGCAAGUUGGAGCAGCAUAAGGGAGCAACUUCUCUUUUUCUUCAGUUCAGUCUGCCAGCCCACUGGUUGCUGGAGAUGGAACGCAAAGCCUUGCACGUGCUAGCUAGGUAAGCAUCCUACACUAAGUCACACCGCCACCCAGGCACUUGUGCUUGUGAUCCACCAUCAGCACGUGGGAUGAGGCUGCCUGACCUCACGGAGCUUGCAUUGCAACGGGAAGCCAAGCGGACCUACAAGCAAGCAACCACUUAGUCAUUCCCUCCUUUUAUAGCAAAUAACAGUGCUGCAUUCAAUCACAGCAGAAUCUGUAUUGCUCCUGAAGACUUUCAUAUCUUCUUUUAUAGUAUCUUGCCUGCUAAUCCCUUUUAUUUACACCGGCUUCUGCAAUACAGACUGACUGUAACCUACCUCUCAGGUAU